GGCUUAGAGCUGGCAUAGCAGUUUUAGAGCAUUGGACUAUGACUCUAGAGGCCAGGGUUCGAAUCCCUGCUUGGCUG